AAUCAACGCUGGCGGCGUGCCUCAGACAUGCAAGUCGAACGCGAAAGUUUCCUUCGGGGAACAAGUAGAGUGGCGCACGGGUGAGUAACACGUAGGUAAUCUACCUUUGGAUGGGGAAUAACAACCGGAAACGGUUGCUAAUACCGCAUAAUGCAGCGGCACCUAAUGGUGACAGUUGCUAAAGCGGGGGAUCGAAAGACCUCGCGUCUGAAGAGGAGCCUGCGGCGGAUUAGCAGUUGGUAAGGUAAUGGCUUACCAAGGCUACGAUCCGUAACCGGCCUGAGAGGGCGGUCGGUCACACUGACACUGACAUACGGGUCAGACUCCUACGGGAGGCAGCAGUCGGGAAUUUUGGGCAAUGGGCGAAAGCCUGACCCAGCAACGCCGCGUGAAGGAUGAAAUCCCUCGGGAUGUAAACUU
rnacentral:rRNA from 1 species